GGGAAGUGGGGCGUCGAGGGAGAGAGGGCAGAGCUGAGGAUAGGGCACCUCGAGGGAGAGAGAGCUGGGGGGGGGCAGCUGUCCAGGGAGAGAGAGAGAGUGCUGAGGGGGAUCAUUCAGGAAGAUAGAGAGAGGAUAGAACAGUGGUAUCAAGGCCGAGAGAGGGCCAUCAGGGCGGCUGUCCAGGAGGAGAGGUCGAGAUUCGAGAGGAGGCAUUACUGGAGGGAGAGGGAGCUCAGGGGUGCCAUCGAGGAGCGAGAGAGAACUCCGUGGCAGUAUUCAAGAAGAAACAGGGAACUGUGGGCGGACGCCCCCGGAGUGAGGGAGACCUGGUACCCAACACGACGGAGGACCCCAAGGGAGGAAGCCCAGAUAGCGAGGGAGAGGGUAGAGCCGAGAUACCCAAGAAGAGACAGGGAACUGAGCUGCUUAGUCCAGGAAGACUGGGUGAGAACCGACGAGAGGCCCUCAGACAGGUCGAGAGUGGUCAGGUUCGCCCAGGAAGAGAGGGAGCGCCUCGACGAGAGGCCCCCCGUCAGAGAGAGGGAUUUCAGGGGCUUCCUCUACGAAGAACGAGAGAGAGACCAGGAGAGGUUUCCCAGGACCAGGGAGAGGGUGCUGAGAAGCGCCGUCCAGGAAGAGAGGGAGCGAGAUGAUAGCAGGCAAUUAAGGAGGGGUCGGGAGAGAGAACCCAGGGGAAGCUCCCAGAGAGAACAGAUCGAAAGUCGGCAAUCCAGCGAGACUGACUUGAGGGAGAUUAUCCAGGAAGACAGGGAGAGGUCUGAGAGGAGACUGACGCAGAGAGAGAGGGAGCUGAGGGCGAUCAUUCAGAGAGAAGCACAAAUAGCUGAAGGGAGGAGUAUAGGGAGAGAGAGAGAGCUGAGGUGGUCCAUCCUGAGGGACACAGAAAGAGCUGAGAGGUCUAUAAGGAGAAAGAGAGAGCUGAGGGGAGCCAUUCAGAGGGACACAGAGAGAGCUGAGAGGAGGAAUAUAAGGAGGGAGAGGGAGUUGAGGGCGAACAUCCAGAGAGAAAGAGAGAGGGACGUGGGGAGAGAGAGGAAAAGAUCGAAUCAGGGUAUCCUGUUGAGGGCGACAGCGAACUCCGAGACGGGCACCCAUCUUGCACAUCGCCCCCCUAGUGUAUUAACUCUGCCACAGGGAGAGAGCAGUACCUUCCAGGGAAGGAGAGAGACGAUUAGCGGAGGCCUACAGAGGGAAAGAGAGAGUAUUGAAAGGUAUAUUCUGAAGAGAGAGGGAGUUCCUGCCGGGAGGUCCAACAGGAAGAGUGUGAGCUCCCUGAGGUAG
rnacentral:lncRNA from 1 species